rnacentral:rRNA from 1 species
GCUAGUAAUCGCGGAUCAGCAUGCCGCGGUGAAUACGUUCCCGGGCCUUGUACACACCGCCCGUCACACCAUGAGAGCCGGUAAUACCCGAAGUCAGUAGUCUAACCGCAAGGAGGACGCUGCCGAAGGUAGGAUUGGCGAUUGGGGUGAAGUCGUAACAAGGUAAC